UACGUAGGGUGCAAGCGUUUAAUCGGAAUUACUGGGCGUAAAGCGUGCGCAGGCGGUUUUGUAAGUCAGAUGUGAAAUCCCCGGGCUUAACCUGGGAACUGCGUUUGAAACUACAAGGCUAGAGUGUGGCAGAGGGGGGUGGAAUUCCACGUGUAGCAGUGAAAUGCGUAGAGAUGUGGAGGAACACCGACGGCGAAGGCAGCCCCCUGGGUUAACACUGACGCUCAGGCACGAAAGCGUGGGGAGCAAACAGG
rnacentral:rRNA from 1 species